rnacentral:rRNA from 1 species
CUAUCGCUUACAGAUGGGCCCGCGGUGCAUUAGCUAGUUGGUAGGGUAAUGGCCUACCAAGGCAACGAUGCAUAGCCGACCUGAGAGGGUGAUCGGCCACACUGGGACUGAGACACGGCCCAGACUCCUACGGGAGGCAGCAGUAGGGAAUCUUCCGCAAUGGACGAAAGUCUGACGGAGCAACGCCGCGUGUAUGAAGAAGGUUUUCGGAUCGUAAAGUACUGUUGUUAGAGAAGAACAAGGAUAAGAGUAACUGCUUGUCCC